rnacentral:lncRNA from 1 species
AAAUUUUGAAUCACAGGAUGGCAUAGAUAAAACUGUUUCCGACUUCAGUGAAUUUUUAAAUGGAAUCAUGUCUCCAUACUUUAAAGUUAGGCCAAAAGUGAGUACGUCUAGGAAGAAACAGGACAGAAUUAUGCCCGUAAUUGAAGACAAACCAUGGUUUAAUGAUGAAUGUAAACGUCGGUAUAAUCUUUAUAAAAAAUUUCUAAAUGUGUUUAACCAUAGCAAGUGUAGUACACAUCAUCUGAACUUAGUAACAGCAAAACGAAAUUAUAAAUUACUUGAAGCAAAACUG